rnacentral:rRNA from 1 species
CCUACGGGUGGCAGCAGUGGGGAAUAUUGGGCAAUGGGCGCAAGCCUGACCCAGCAACGCCGCGUGAAGGAAGAAGGCUUGCGGGUUGUAAACUUCUUUUCGCAGGGACGAAGAAAGUGACGGUACCGGAGGAAUAAGCCACGGCUAACUACGGGCCAGCAGCCGCGGUAAGACGUAGGUUGCAAGCGUGAUCCGGAUUGAGUGGGUUUAAAGGGCGUGUAGGCGGGAGCGCAAGUCAGAUGGGAAAACUCGGGGCUCAACCCUGAGCCUGCAUUUGAAACUGUGUUUCUUGAGUGCUGGGGAGGCAAUCGUAAUUCCGUGUGUAGCGGUGAAAUGCGUCGAUAUACGGAGGAACACCAGUGGCGAAGGCGGCUUGCUGGACAGUAACUGACGCUGAGGCGCGACAGCGUGGGGAGCAAACAGGAUUAGAUCCCCGAGUAGUC